rnacentral:rRNA from 1 species
CGGCCCGCGUCUGAUUAGCUAGUUGGUGAGGUAAUGGCUCACCAAGGCGACGAUCAGUAGCUGGUCUGAGAGGAUGAUCAGCCACAUUGGGACUGAGACACGGCCCAAACUCCUACGGGAGGCAGCAGUGGGGAAUAUUGGACAAUGGGCGCAAGCCUGAUCCAGCCAUGCCGCGUGAGUGAUGAAGGCCCUAGGGUUGUAAAGCUCUUUUGUGCGGGAAGAUAAUGACGGUACCGCAAGAAUAAGCCCCGGCUAACUUCGUGCCAGCAGCCGCGGUAAUGCGAAGGGGGCUAGCGUUGCUCGGAAUCACUGGGCGUAAAGGGUGCGUAGGCGGGUCUUUAAGUCAGGGGUGAAAUCC